UUGUCAGGUCUAAAAAACAGCUCCAUUCAAGAAUUGCUUCCGUUUCUCAAUUUUUACCACAUUAAAAGCAAAUGCAGAGUUGCCGGCCACUAGAAAAAAGAGAGUGUCGAGCAAUUUCAGCAAGUAAAUUAGUCAUGGCCUGGGCUAAAAGAGCCAUGUCGGGUAUAUUUUACUUUAAAUAACUCGUACGAGAUCUCGUUUAUUGAUUUCAAAAAAUGUUCCUCCUGGCUUUGGUUUAUUUGCUGCUGGUGCUUGAUAGUCCCCUCCAAGUCAAAUCAAAUAAUAUUUCGAGCUAUUUAAGAGGCUACUACCAUCAGCCAUGGAAUGGUGAUCAGUCUGAUCGCUCAAUACCGAGUUAUGUAAAUAUUUUCGCUGGCGAGCAUCACGUGUUCAACAAUGAAACUUCCGAUGCUCAGGAUCUGCUCGAUAUCCACAAAAUUGAGUUCGGACGUUCGCCACGCCAAAUUAAGAGUGUUUCAUGAGUGAAAAUAAAAGUAUUGAGAGUAAAAAUUCA